GCGGACGUGGCGAAAUCGGUAGACGCAGCGGACUUAAAAUCCGCUUCCCGAAGGGAGUGCGGGUUCAAGUCCCGCCGUCCGCACCA
rnacentral:tRNA from 1 species